rnacentral:rRNA from 1 species
UACGAUGGGGGCGAGCGUUGUUCGGAAUUAUUGGGCGUAAAGGGUGCGUAGGCGGUUUGGUAAGUCUCUUGUGAAAUCUAUGGGCUCAACUCAUAGUCUGCAAGGGAAACUGCCGGGCUUGAGUGUGGGAGAGGUGAGUGGAAUUUCCGGUGUAGCGGUGAAAUGCGUAGAUAUCGGAAGGAACACCUGUGGCGAAAGCGGCUCACUGGACCACAACUGACGCUGAUGCACGAAAGCUAGGGGAGCAAACAGG